rnacentral:misc_RNA from 1 species
GAUGAAGAACGUAGCGAAAUGCGAUAAGUAGUGUGAAUUGCAGAAUUCAGUGAAUCAUCGAAUCUUUGAACGCACAUUGCGCCCCUCGGUAUUCCGUGGGGCAUGCCUGUUCGAGCGUCAUUUAACCCCUCAAGCCUAGCUUGGUAUUGGGUGCUUGUCCCGCCUCUCGCGCGGCGACUCACCUCAAAGUCAUUGGCAGCCCGCAUCUCGCCGGCCGUGAGCGCAGCACAGACGCGCUCUUGGCAACGACGGAUCGGCUCUCCAAAGGCUUAUUUCAACCACUGACCUCGGAUCAGGUAGGGAUACCCGCUGAACUUAAGCAUAUCAAUAAGCGGAGGA